AUUAUACAAAUUGACUCCCAACUUAGUAAGAGAGUUAUAUAAAGGAGAGACAGAGUUGAAUUUGUGAGGUUGACACAAGAGGUACGUAAACCAUGAAGGUUYACACACGGAUAAUUGCUGCUGUUUUCAUGUUCAUGUUGCUGGUGCACGAAGGACAACAAAUAAGUGUCGCCAUGAAGUUGAUGACUGGCACAACUUCAAGGCCUUCACUGAGCAUUACCAAGAUGAAAAGAAUGAAUUCAAGAAUACACAGGCCAGAAACAAUGGACUACAUUUGUGAAGCAGCCACAGCGAUUGGAUGCCCAGCUCCAUGGACAAGUGAACGAUCUUAACGAUAAAUAAUUCCGUAAUACAAAUGUUCAGAAAAUAUGAAUAAAGACUGAGAAAGAAUGUUUGA